rnacentral:rRNA from 1 species
UGGGGAAUAUUGCACAAUGGGCGCAAGCCUGAUGCAGCAACGCCGCGUGAACGAUGAAGGUCUUCGGAUCGUAAAGUUCUGUUGCAGGGGAAGAUAAUGACGGUACCCUGUGAGGAAGCCCCGGCUAACUACGUGCCAGCAGCCGCGGUAAUACGUAGGGGGCUAGCGUUAUCCGGAUUUACUGGGCGUAAAGGGUGCGUAGGUGGUCUUUCAAGUCGGUGGUUAAAGGCUACGGCUCAACCGUAGUUAGCCUCCGAAACUGGAAGACUUGAGUGCAGGAGAGGAAGGUGGAAUUCCCGGUGUAGCGGUGAAAUGCAUAGAUAUUGGGAGGAACACCAGUAGCGAAGACGGCUUUCUGGACUGCAACAGACACUGAGGCACGAAAGCGUGGGUAGCAAACAGG